GCAAGCACUUUAAAAGGGAGCGCUGUUUUUUGAAAAGCAGUGCGUCGGGGAAGUCAGGUGAGAGUCCUGCACAAUGCCCGUUGCUGUAUGGGAGUAGUGCUGUUCCAUGAUGUCAUUGUAGACAAAUGGUCUAUGAGAAGGCGGAACAGUGUGUUUGAUACCUAAGUCAGAAUACCCGCUUUUAAAGGAAUCUGAGA
rnacentral:ncRNA from 2 species